AGGAUUAGAUACCCUGGUAGUCCACGCCGUAAACGAUGAGUGCUAAGUGUUAGAGGGUUUCCGCCCUUUAGUGCUGCAGCAAACGCAUUAAGCACUCCGCCUGGGGAGUACGGCCGCAAGGCUGAAACUCAAAGGAAUUGACGGGGGCCCGCACAAGCGGUGGAGCAUGUGGUUUAAUUCGAAGCAACGCGAAGAACCUUACCAGGUCUUGACAUCUCCUGACAACCCUAGAGAUAGGGCGUUCCCCUUCGGGGGACAGGAUGACAGGUGGUGCAUGGUUGUCGUCAGCUCGUGUCGUGAGAUGUUGGGUUAAGUCCCGCAACGAGCGCAACCCUUGAUCUUAGUUGCCAGCAUUCAGUUGGGCACUCUAAGGUGACUGCCGGUGACAAACCGGAGGAAGGUGGGGAUGACGUCAAAUCAUCAUGCCCCUUAUGACCUGGGCUACACACGUGCUACAAUGGAUGGUACAAAGGGCUGCGAGACCGCGAGGUUAAGCGAAUCCCAUAAAACCAUUCUCAGUUCGGAUUGCAGGCUGCAACUCGCCUGCAUGAAGCCGGAAUCGCUAGUAAUCGCGGAUCAGCAUGCCGCGGUGAUACGUUCCCG
rnacentral:rRNA from 1 species